rnacentral:rRNA from 1 species
GUUUCGGAUGGAAUCACAGUUAUUUUAGCGGGCGGACGGGUGAGUAACGCGUGAGCGACCAACCUUGCACAGGGGAUAACGGACCGAAAGGUUCACUAAUACCGCAUGAGACCACGGUGUUGCAUGACACAGAGGUCAAAGGAGAGAUCCGGUGCAAGACGGGCUCGCGUCCGAUUAGGUAGUUGAGGGGUAACGGCCCACCAAGCCUAUGAUCGGUAGCCGACCUGAGAGGGUGAUCGGCCACAUUGGAACUGAGAUACGGUCCAAACUCCUACGGGAGGCAGCAGUGGGGAAUAUUGGGCAAUCGGGGGGAAACCCUGACCCAGCAACGCCGCGUGAAGGAAGAAGGUUUUCGGAUUGUAAACUUCUGUCCUUGGUGAAGAGAAGAAGACGGUAGCCAAGGAGGAAGCCCCGGCUAACUACGUGCCAGCCGCGGC